UACGUAGGGUGCGAGCGUUAAUCGGAAUUACUGGGCGUAAAGGGUGCGCAGGCGGUCUCGUAAGCUGGGUGUGAAAGCCCCGGGCUUAACCUGGGAAUGGCAUUCAGGACUGCGAGGCUUUGAGUGCGGCAGAGGGAGGUGGAAUUCCACGUGUAGCAGUGAAAUGCGUAGAGAUGUGGAGGAACAUCAGUGGCGAAGGCGGCCUCCUGGGCCAGCACUGACGCUCAGGCACGAAAGCGUGGGGAGCAAACAGG
rnacentral:rRNA from 1 species